rnacentral:lncRNA from 1 species
UUGUUCUCUCUUGUUACAGCCUUUUUGUGUACCUUCUGAGAAUAUUUCAUUGUCAGCACUAUAACAGUACAUGUGUUUUUAUAGUAUCUUAUCAAAUUGAUAUGUAGAUGGAAGUAAACUUCUACACAAUUCGAGUAAAUGAACAAAAAGAACUGCGUAAUUCCUUUCUGUUACGUUCUGUCAUGUUACCUGAUAAAAAGUAACAGCAUAACCAUAAUCAGUAACAGAAAGGAUGUUCAAG